UUUGUGAAAAUUUUAAUAAAAAAAUUCGCAAAUGCUCGGGUUGAUUAGUCAAACGGAGCAUUUGGUGUCAAAUGCUUCGGUUGUCAACCCGAGCAUUUAAAUCCUCUCUCAAUUCAUGAAACCCCUCACACUGUACGUACUAAAAUGAUUUUCGACUCUCCUCAUCAGUCAUUAUCGUUCCCUCUCUUUAUUAUUUUCUCUCCCUCCCAAGUCCCUCGAUUCCCUCAAAUGAAACCUCCGCCAUCCCUCCCUUCCUCUGUCAUCCCUCCUUAUCAAGUCCCGCCGAACAAAGAUUCCUCCGCCAGUUACUGCCCCGCCGUCUGCUAUCGAGGGUAUUAUCUCGCCCUUUUCUUUUUUUCUUAUUUGUCGACUUUUAGGGUUUUUUUUUUGUUUCUCUGUUGCUUAUUUUUUUGGAUUUGGAAAUUUCUGGAUUUAGUUGUGUUGAUGUAAGAUCUGCUUCAUUAAAGCAUUCAAGUUCAAUACUUGUGAAGUUUCCUUUGAUUUGAUUUGAUUUUGAAUUGGUUGAAGAUUCGGUUUUAACUUCUUAGGGGUUUCAAUUGAUUCGCUGCAUUUUUCGGGAUUUUUUGGUUCAUUCAUGGUUUCCCCUUUCUUAUGAGUAUCUUCUAUCUAAUUUCUUUCUAUUUUUGUUUUUGAUUUUGUAUGUUGAUCUGAAUUUUCUUUAAUUUUUUUGGAUUUCAUGUUAGUCUACGGUUUUGUCGUGGUUUAGAUCUCGAGUUUUGUGAUAUUUGUAUGUUGAUCUAUGCCUUGCAGGAGCAUUUCGUGAUUUUUUAACAGUGUCACACCCAUAAACUGAUUUACACACACUGGAUUAGACAUUUGAUUUAUCCCUGGUGGUUGAUGUGCAAAGUUUGUUAUGUUCUUGUUAAGAGACAAUUGAUCCUGAUUAAAUUACAAUGUGGUGAUUACUUUUUAGGUGUUUUCACCCACAGAUUUCUGCCUUUUGGUUCCUGUGUUUAUUGCUUUUCUAGAUUAAAAAGUAUAGAUUAGUAUCUUCAGAACCUUAAUAUAUGUAGAUUUCUGCAUUCUGGAGUAAAAUUUUUUUCCUUUUUGUCUGAUAGCCGGGAAAAUAUGCCCCAAGUUUUCUGAGGAAUUGAUGCACCAUUGUGCAGGUAACUAGGGUAUACAGGGGAAAGGAACAUGCUGAAAUAGAGUUCACGAUUGAACCCAUAUCUGUUGCUGAUGGAAUUGGGAAAGAAAUAAUCACCCAGAUUAAAACGACCAUGAAGACAAAUAGAACUUUCUACACAGAUUCUAAUGGUCGUGACUUCAUAAAAAGGGUGAGUUUUUUCUUUUUUGUUUCUUUUUUUCCUAUUAACUGAACAAAGCUACAUAUGCGGUUUCCUCUCUUGUUGUUGUUUUCUUUUUGUUUGCGUAGUAUUUGAACUUUGAAGGAAGUUGUGUUGUAAAAUGUUGGUUCCUUUUUACCCAUCAUUUUUAUCUCUCUCCUCAAACUUAACAAAUGUUUUGUUUUUUAAAUUAACUUCAAUAACGUGUUUCCUUUUCAAAGAUUACAUAUUAUUUUGAAAUUUUGUUAAAGUAACCUUGAUUUUAUAUCUUCGUUCCUGUGAUAAAUUGUAAAAUGAGCUGGCAUAGUUGAUAAGACAUGGUUUUUUUUCCAGAUAAGAGAUAACAGAGCAGAUCGGGACUUAAAAGUCAGCCAGCCAAUUGUAGGAAAUUAUUACCCGAUAAACCUUGGAAUAUAUAUGGAAGAUGGAAACAAUGAACUCUCCGUGCUUGUCGAUCGUGCAGUUGGAGGGUCAGCAUAAUGGAUGGCCAGAUAGAGUUAAUGCUUCAUAGGAGGCUACUUCAUGAUGAUUCUAGAGGUGUUGGUGAGGUACUCAAUGAAACAGUUUGUGCCCUUGAUGAGUGUGAAGGCUUAACGAUAUGUCUCUCAGCACUUAGGCGUUCUGUUUAUAUUCACUAUUUUAUUUUGGACAUGGACCAAACAGUGUUAUCUUAUAUGCACUUUUUUAUUU